GCCGAGGUAGCCAAGCCCGGAUCACGGCGCCGGUCUUGAAAACCGGUGUGUUCGCACGCAUGAGUUCAAAAAUUUCCACGAAUUGUGGGGAUUGAAUUAAUCUCAUCCUCGGCGCCA
rnacentral:tRNA from 1 species